rnacentral:rRNA from 1 species
AGCCUGAUCCAGCAAUGCCGCGUGAGUGAUGAAGGCCUUAGGGUUGUAAAGCUCUUUUACCAGGGAUGAUAAUGACAGUACCUGGAGAAUAAGCUCCGGCUAACUCCGUGCCAGCAGCCGCGGUAAUACGGAGGGAGCUAGCGUUGUUCGGAAUUACUGGGCGUAAAGCGCGCGUAGGCGGCUAUCCAAGUCAGGGGUGAAAUCCCGGGGCUCAACCCCGGAACUGCCCUUGAAACUAGGUAGCUAGAAUACUGGAGAGGUGAGUGGAAUUCCGAGUGUAGAGGUGAAAUUCGUAGAUAUUCGGAAGAACACCAGUGGCGAAGGCGACUCACUGGACAGUUAUUGACGCUGAGGUGCGAAAGCGUGGGGAGCAAACAGGAUUAGAUAUCCUGGUAGUCCACGCCGUAAACGAUGAUAACUAGCUGUCCGGGCUCAUAGAGCUUGGGUGGCGCAGCUAACGCAUUAAGU